AUGAAACAAAAGAUUCACCGCCACUUAACACCUUUGAAAUAAGUGAGGAAGUUCACAGUGCUGAUACCGAUGGAGCAAAAGUUUCACAACCGAUUAACACAUUGGAAAUGAGUGAGGAACUUAACAGUGCAGGUGAAGUUGCCAAUGAAACAAAAGAUUCACCGCCACUUAACACCUUUGAAAUAAGUGAGGAAGUUCACAGUGCUGAUACCGAUGGAGCAAAAGUUUCACAACCGAUUAACACAUUGGAAAUGAGUGAAGAACUUAACAGUGCAGGUGAGGUUGCCGAUGAAACAAAAG
rnacentral:lncRNA from 1 species